rnacentral:rRNA from 1 species
AUUGAACGCUGGCGGCAUGCCUUACACAUGCAAGUCGAACGGUAACAGGUCUUCGGAUGCUGACGAGUGGCGAACGGGUGAGUAAUACAUCGGAACGUGCCCGAUUGUGGGGGAUAACGAGGCGAAAGCUUUGCUAAUACCGCAUACGAUCUACGGAUGAAAGCGGGGGAUCUUCGGACCUCGCGCGGACGGAGCGGCCGAUGGCAGAUUAGGUAGUUGGUGGGAUAAAAGCUUACCAAGCCGACGAUCUGUAGCUGGUCUGAGAGGAUGAUCAGCCACACUGGGACUGAGACACGGCCCAGACUCCUACGGGAGGCAGCAGUGGGGAAUUUUGGACAAUGGGCGAAAGCCUGAUCCAGCCAUGCCGCGUGCAGGAUGAAGGCCUUCGGGUUGUAAACUGCUUUUGUACGGAACGAAAAGCCUCUUUCUAAUAAAGAGGGGUCAUGACGGUACCGUAAGAAUAAGCACCGGCUAACUACGUG